CCCGCCACUGUGCUAGUCUGUAAAAGGGACUGUGUACUGUCCAGAGGAGGCUAAAAAUAACCCAGUUCUAGGAAGCAGGAAUACUCAAACUCAGUGGUUAAACCUGUGCCAAAAAGCCUGGAACAUGU
rnacentral:snoRNA from 1 species